UACGGAGGGUGCAAGCGUUAUCCGGAUUCACUGGGUUUAAAGGGUGCGUAGGUGGGCAGGUAAGUCAGUGGUGAAAUCUCCGAGCUUAACUCGGAAACUGCCAUUGAUACUAUCUUUCUUGAAUACCGUGGAGGCUAGCGGAAUAUGUCAUGUAGCGGUGAAAUGCUUAGAUAUGACAUAGAACACCAAUUGCGAAGGCAGCUGGCUACACGAAUAUUGACACUGAUGCACGAAAGCGUGGGGAUCAAAC
rnacentral:rRNA from 1 species